rnacentral:rRNA from 1 species
ACGGAAGGCAGCAGUGGGGAAUAUUGCACAAUGGGCGCAAGCCUGAUGCAGCGAUGCCGCGUGAGGGAAGAAGGUUUUCGGAUUGUAAACCUCUGUCAACAGGGACGAUAAUGACUGUACCUGUGAAGGAAGCUCCGGCUAACUACGUGCCAGCAGCCGCGGUAAUACGUAGGGAGCAAGCGUUAUCCGGAAUUACUGGGUGUAAAGGGUGUGUAGGCGGGAUUGCAAGUCAGAUGUGAAAACUAUGGGCUCAACUCAUAGCCUGCAUUUGAAACUGUAGUUCUUGAGGGUCGGAGAGGUAACUGGAAUUCCUGGUGUAGCGGUGAAAUGCGUAGAUAUCAGGAGGAACACCGGUGGCGAAGGCGGGUUACUGGACGAUUACUGACGCUGAGACACGAAAGCGUGGGGAGCAAACAGGAUUAGAUACCCUGGUA